rnacentral:rRNA from 1 species
GAGUUUGAUCCUGGCUCAGAAUGAACGCUGGCGGCAUGCCUAACACAUGCAAGUCGAACGAAGGCUUCGGCCUUAGUGGCGCACGGGUGCGUAACGCGUGGGAAUCUGCCCUCAGGUUCGGAAUAACAGCGAGAAAUUGCUGCUAAUACCGGAUGAUAUCGCGAGAUCAAAGAUUUAUCGCCUGAGGAUGAGCCCGCGUAGGAUUAGCUAGUUGGUGUGGUAAAGGCGCACCAAGGCGACGAUCCUUAGCUGGUCUGAGAGGAUGAUCAGCCACACUGGGACUGAGACACGGCCCAGACUCCUACGGGAGGCAGCAGUGGGGAAUAUUGGACAAUGGGCGAAAGCCUGAUCCAGCAAUGCCGCGUGAGUGAUGAAGGCCUUAGGGUUGUAAAGCUCUUUUACCCGGGAUGAUAAUGACAGUACCGGGAGAAUAAGCUCCGGCUAACUCCGUGCCAGCAGCCGCGGUAAUACGGAGGGAGCUAGCGUUAUUCGGAAUUACUGGGCGUAAAGCGCACGUAGGCGGUUUGUAGUUAGAGGUGAAAGCUGGAGCUCACUCCAGAAUUGGCUUUAGACUGCUUCGUUGAAUCAGGAGAGGUGAGUGGAAUCGAGUGUG